AGACCCGAAACCCGGUGAUCUAGCCAUGGGCAGGUUGAAGGUUGGGUAACACUAACUGGAGGACCGAACCGACUAAUGUUGAAAAAUUAGCGGAUGACCUGUGGCUGGGGGUGAAAGGCCAAUCAAACCGGGAGAUAGCUGGUUCUCCCCGAAAGCUAUUUAGGUAGCGCCUCGUGAAUUCAUCUCCGGGGGUAGAGCACUGUUUCGGCUAGGGGGCCAUCCCGGCUUACCAACCCGAUGCAAACUGCGAAUACCGGAGAAUGUUAUCACGGGAGACACACGGCGGGUGCUAACGUCCGUCGUGAAGAGGGAAACAACCCAGACCGCCAGCUAAGGUCCCAAAGUCAUGGUUAAGUGGGAAACGAUGUGGGAAGGCCCAGACAGCCAGGAUGUUGGCUUAGAAGCAGCCAUCAUUUAAAGAAAGCGUAAUAGCUCACUGGUCGAGUCGGCCUGCGCGGAAGAUGUAACGGGGCUAAACCAUGCACCGAAGCUGCGGCAGCGACACUCAGGUGUUGUUGGGUAGGGGAGCGUUCUGUAAGCCUGUGAAGGUGGCCUGUGAGGGUUGCUGGAGGUAUCAGAAGUGCGAAUGCUGACAUAAGUAACGAUAAAGCGGGUGAAAAGCCCGCUCGCCGGAAGACCAAGGGUUCCUGUCCAACGUUAAUCGGGGCAGGGUGAGUCGACCCCUAAGGCGAGGCCGAAAGGCGUAGUCGAUGGG
rnacentral:rRNA from 1 species